UCAAAUCCUUUAAGUCUGUGGACCUAGCCCCACAAUGAGAAGAGAAGUCAGCUACAGAACUCCCGAGAGCUCCACCCUAAUGUCCUCACAGGGAGCAGAAUCGGAAGUGAAGUUUUCUGUGUUGUUUCAGAAAGUGAAAUGUACAAGCAACAGGAGCAAGUGACUGCGAAAUCCGUUCCAGUACAGCGUAAGGAAGGAUUUCGUAACCAUCACAACAGGCCAACGGUGGAUGCGGCUGUCUUGAUCGGUACUGAGAUGCCUGUCACUUACAGGAUUCAAAACGAAAUGAGUGACGCAUCAGACCUGCUAGAGAAGGGAUUUUUGCAUAAAAAUAAAUUCUGUGAUUCUCCACCGUAUGCUUUGCAUUUUUACUCAUCAUUGGUAAGACCAACCCGUGAUGUGGCCUUAGGGGAGGACAUCCCUUAGAUGAGGCAAUUGUACAGCGCCUGGGGAGGCAGCCGGCCGCCUAGAGGCCUCGGUGGAAUUCCUUGGUUUUGGAAAUAGCCUGGAGAACAAAGCACCCUUAUCUCUGGAGAGGCAGCUGAGAUUCUGUGGGCUCCUGCUCCCUCGAGGCUUGGCUUGCCCCGUCGUCAAGGGGCCACCAUCUGGGCCCAGAAGCCUGAUGGGGGGGGGUGGUCCACAGACUAGCUGGCCACCCAACUUGGCACAUAGGGUAUUUGGUAUCCCCUAGGCAUGUUGGAUAAAGACAGGUAGCCCUCUAAGCCUCACUGUUCCCAUCUGUCAAAUGGGGAUAAUAAAAGUACUCAACGCAA